UACGUAGGGUGCAAGCGUUAAUCGGAAUUACUGGGCGUAAAGCGUGCGCAGGCGGUUGUGCAAGACCGAUGUGAAAUCCCCGGGCUUAACCUGGGAACUGCAUUGGUGACUGCACGGCUAGAGUGUGUCAGAGGGGGGGUAGAAUUCCACGUGUAGCAGUGAAAUGCGUAGAGAUGUGGAGGAAUACCGAUGGCGAAGGCAGCCCCCCUGGGAUAACACUGACGCUCAUGCACGAAAGCGUGGGGGAGCAAACAGG
rnacentral:rRNA from 1 species